rnacentral:lncRNA from 1 species
CCUGGAACUACUGGAAAGGGAUCCCCUGUCACUAGGCAGCACACACAGCCAGGAAGUCACGGUGCAGGGGUUAGAUUACAGCCUCAGGCGGUACUGGAAAGGGAUCCCCUGUCACUAGGCAGCACACACAGCCAGGAAGUCACGGUGCAGGGGUUAGAUUACAGCCUCAGGCGGUACUGGAAAGGGAUCCCCUGUCACUAGGUAGCACACACAGGCAGGAAGUCACGGUGCAGGGGUUAGAUUACAGCCUCAGGCGGUCUGUCCAGGCCAUAUGUUCAUGGGGUCAAAAUACCGGGCUGUGGUACGGCUCAGACGGCAGGUCUAGACCAGGAUCCUGCAAUGAGCAUUGUGCCGUGAUUCAGCAACACGGAUUCCAGGGGCGGAAAGGCACCUGCUGAUGUGAACCAAGGUCCCCUCACUGAGUCCUUCCUGCUCCCCAUCUGAACUUCAGACGGGCCCUGCCCCCAGCUGCUGAGGUUUGUACUUCCUACCUCUGCGUUAAGCAUGCAGUUCUUGCACCUGCCACUAACCUAAUACAUACUUUGCCCAUAGGACGUGUUUAUUGACUGCACGCAAGCUCCAUGAAGAGAGAAUUUUGCAUCUGCUUUGUUCAUGGUUUUGUCACUGUCAUCAUCAGCUGUAUAAUGGAUGCUGGCACAAAGUAGGUGCUCAGUAUGUCUUCACUGAAGAGUAGGUGCUCAGUACAUCCUCACGGAAGAGUAGGUGCUCAGUGUGUCUUCACCGAAGAGUAGGUGCUCAGUAUGUCUUCACUGAAUAGCAGGUGCUCAGUGUGUCCUCACAGAAGAGCAGGUGCUCAGUGUGUCCUCACUGAAGAGUAGGUGCUCGGUAUGUCCUCACUGAACAGUAGGUGCUCGGUAUGUCCUCACUGAACAGUAGGUGCUCAGUGUGUCCUCACUGAAGAGUAGGUGCUCGGUAUGUCCUCACUGAACAGUGACAGGUGCUCGGUAUGUCCUCUUAGGGAGGCACAACUAUGCCCCUCGCUGGAAGAAUUAGGGGAGGGCAGGUAAGAUAAAUGCACUCCUCUUCUGAGAGUGCUCAUCUGCCAAUGGGAGAGAUGCUGUUUAGUUUACCAUAUUUCUUUUCAGCUCUCUCCACCCCGAGUUAAAUAAGCUGGUCCUCAUAACCACCAUCCAAGGUUCCAAGUUUCAACUGCCCCACCUCAGGUGUGAUGUCUGUGGAAUAUUGAACCUGAAACGAUAAGCCUCCAAGCCUAAACUUGAAAAAUGAUGAUGGCUAUCACAGGAAAUUACAUUCUCAAUGGAACAUGAUACAGAGGAAAUUAAGUCUGUUUUGCUGCCUUGACACAUAGACACCACCAAUGUCUCCCUUAGCAAAUGUGCACUUCUAGGCUCUAAGCUUUCUGAGGGCAGCACGUCUACACCACUGUGGCUUCAGCGCCU